rnacentral:rRNA from 1 species
UACAGAGGCCCCAAGCGUUACUGAGAAUCACUGGGUUUAAAGGGUGCGUAGGUGGCGCGUUAAGUUCGUUGUGAAAUCCCUGGGCUCAACCCAGGAAUUGCUUCGAAUACUGGCGUGCUUGAGGCUAGUAGGGGUCACUGGAACUGACGGUGGAGCGGUGAAAUGCGUAGAUAUCGUCAGGAACGCCGAUGGUGAAGACAGGUGACUGGGCUAGUUCUGACACUGAGGCACGAAGGCGUGGGGAGCGAACGGG